rnacentral:lncRNA from 1 species
GUAUUUUUCAACCUUUAAGUGACAUAGAAGAGCUCUAAUGUCUCUAAAUUUUUUUCCCUGUUGAAAAAAAAACCGUGAAUGGAACUCGUAUAAGACAUGCACAUUGUCUUUGAAAACAGUGUCCCAACUAAAUGAAAAAAAAAAACAUACAUUAAGCAAAUGUUUAUAAUCAAACAACUCGUGGGCAAUGAGGUCUCCCCACAAAUCCCUCCUUUCAGCGCCCCCUUUGCUUCUUCCUCUGAAUUCUCUAAAACAGGCAGCUAAGGAAAUAGAUACUUCAGGGUUUGGCUUUGUCCCUCCUCUGCUUGUACAUCUUGCUAUAUUUCAAACCCUUCCUUCUGUUGGAAGAAACUAACUCAGAAAACCACUGGUGUGUUCUUGAAUCAGCACAAACCAAUGUCAAGGAAAACUGGGGAUUUGUCUCUCCACAUUUCUUCCCAUUGAUCCCAGACGGUCGUGAGCAACGGAAUGGCACUUGUCAUCCUUAGCUCUUGCUUCUUGAUCCACAGAUUCCUUGUCCCAAAUGUCUCCCUGUGUCAGGACAGUUUUGUUCUCUUUGCUACCGAGCUAUAAUCCCUUACUCCACCACCCCCUCCCCAGAAGUUCAACACUGGCACCCCAGAAUAUUUUCAGAUUGCUGCAGUUCAGAGGGUUUGCACUCUGCUAACAGCAGACACCAACAUGAACGAAGCCUGAGGUUUCACUGGCGUGUGCGGAGUGCACGUCAGGCCUCAGGACGGGAAUGUAAGCUUGAAGGACCUUCGCUUCGCACUCAGUUUCUAAUCUCUCAGUCAACCUCCUGGUUGAGGACACCAAGGUUGUCAGCGCAAUAGAUGUAGUUUUAUCUUGUCUAGCAUAAUAAUAACUUUAAAAAGUGUUUUUAGGAUUUGAAAAGGUACAUGGUUGAUAAGUAAAAGCCAGCUUUCCUGUCACAUGCUAACUUACGCAUGCAGAUUGGCUAGCUGGAAUAGCCAACCAUUUGUGGAUGGACUAUGAAACAGGAUCGAUUUAGCACAGAUAUAUUUCCAAAAAUCAUCUACCAAGAAUACCUUCUUGGAUAUUGCCUUUAGGUGUGUUUUAUAACAUAGAAGAGCAGUGGGGUCUAUUUACUGGCAAUUUCUCUGUUUCUGCAGAUACAUACCCAUUCUAUCCAAAAGUGUAACCAAACAGUUCCUGUGAUAUAAGCAUUCUAAAUUUAGAAUUAAGAGAUAGCCACAUAGAUUCACUUGUGAUUGUUAGACCGUAUCCAUACUCUAAACCAUGAGAUGGGACCUGACACCAGUCCGUGACAACUGUUGUUUUCUGUGCACUCGUUUUCUCUGCAUGUCUCUAGGAAUACACUAUGUACAUAGUGACCACGUAUUUUGUGUCCUUUUGAGUAAGUAGGUUCAAAAGCAAUUACUAAAACCCCAUUAAGCAUGAAUGUGAUUUUAUGUGCAUCAUAUAUAUACAUAUGAAUAUAAAUAUCAGUGUAAGCCUGUGCUCAGUAUGUAAGAGUAUGAAUAUAUUUUCAACUGUGUUAAUAUAUAUGUUGGGAAGACCUGCCAUAAUAUGAUUAUGGUAGUUCAUUUCUCAUAACAUACAUGAGAAACACAGGAUCUCCUAACCUAUUCUGUAUAUAUUCUGAGGGGCACAAAGCUUAUGAUAACCAUGAUGACCACCAUAACUAUAACCAUGACAAAGUAGCGUGAUGUCUAUGGUCCUUUGCAUUGAAACCCACAGCACUGCUACCUAGGAAGGCAUUACUUUUUGGGUGAGACUUUGGUUUUUAAAAAAUGUAAGAAAGAUUUGGAAGCUUUCUCCAGGGUCCCUAGUUAGUAUUGUGUUCUCUGGGGAUUGUUGAGCUGACUCUUACAAAGAGCUAAGUUAAUCUGUGUUGUCCUGAGUUCUCUUCAGUAAAGUUAAAAGAAUGCGAAGUCAGCAACACAAUGAAAGUAAUAGGCCUUUCUGAGCAAACCUGUUAAAACACGUGGGGGACAGGAUACUCAAUUCCUCGAAGGUAUGUUAUCUACUCUGACAGGUAAACCUUUGACAUUCGGGAAACUGUGCAAUCACUUUAAAUUGAUGGGAAUCUCUGCAGGAUGAGUAACAAAUCCUAAACAGACAUCCUAGCUGUCUUAACUCAGUGAGAGAUGUCUGUGUUUAAGAAGGAAGCAUGAGUUUGUAAUUUCACCCAGCACUAGUAGCUGUGAGCUCAGAGUUCCUGCGAAAGAAGCCAACUUUAGAGAAAUAAUGGAUAGUUCACCAGGUCCUUUAGUCUUUUCUAAAGAACUCAGUUUGUCUUCUAGAUAAUAAUAGGCUGUCUGUCUAGCUGAUGUGUUUAAAAUUGUGUGGUGCUUUGUAUGUGAAACUUUAACAAUAUUUUUGAAGUAUAUAUAGUAUAUGCAUUGCUAGUUGUGUAUAUAUACAUACAUGUAGUAGUAUCUGUAUGUGUGGAGAGCAAGAGACAGGAGCCUCAAAGAAUCUCCUGCUUAAGAUGUGUUAGUACUGGUAUACUGGUGAGACUCCUCAUUCCACUGCUCAAGGGCUUCACAUGUGGCUCAGCUCAAGGCAUUCAUUUCAUUCUAAUCUUUACCAUUACAUCCCUUAAACAUUACUCAUAAUGUUUUCAAUUCAUACAAAAACUACUCCAGUGUCUUGUACUGACUGCUGCCAAUCUGUGAAAAUGACUUCUCCCAAACCAGAAACCCUACCACUGUCACCUUGUGUGUUUGAUUUCAUGUGCACACUGCUUUUGUUUCAUGGGCUUGUAUGUAUUCCUCUUCUCUCCCCGUUCUGAAUCAAACUUCACUUCACCUUUUGUGUGAAUGGUUGAGUACACAGAAGUCAAAUCUUGUUUUCUCUGUUGAUUCUUUAACAUGAGCCAGAAUACUCCCCAUUGUCGUUUUUAACCACUUUGGGGAUUUCUUAAUGUUGGAUUAAUAUGGAUUCUGUGAAUGGGAUUUUUGAAGCAAAUUCCUAAAGCCUGUAUCAUUCUUGGAGGUCAUGUACCUAUUGUGAAAAAAAUGUGAAACUGUAUUUCUGAACCUGAAAUAAAUGAUUACAUUUGAAGG